CAGUCGCCGCGGGAAUACAGAGGGUGCGAGCGUUAAUCGGAUUUACUGGGCGUAAAGCGUGCGUAGGCGGCUUCUUAAGUCGGAUGUGAAAUCCCUGAGCUUAACUUAGGAAUUGCAUUCGAUACUUGGAAGCUAGAGUAUGGGAGAGGAUGGUAGAAUUCCAGGUGUAGCGGUGAAAUGCGUAGAGAUCUGGAGGAAUACCGAUGGCGAAGGCAGCCAUCUGGCCUAAUACUGACGCUGAGGUACGAAAGCAUGGGGAGCAAACAGGAUUAGAUACCCCGGUAGUCCCUGUCUCUUAUAC
rnacentral:rRNA from 1 species